GGCAACAUGAGAGCCCAACUGUCUCUUAUAACAAAUCAAUUAAACUGAUCUCCUAGUACAAAAGCUAGGAUCCCCCCAUAAGACCAGAAGACCCUGUGAAGCUUUAACUAACCUAUUAAACCCCAUAAUAGCUAGUUUCGGUUGGGGCGACCUUGGAACAAAAAAAAACUUCCAAACUUGCACCUCACCUGCACUAAAGGCCAACAAGCCACAAUUAGACCCAGUUUACACCUGACAAAUGAACCAAGUUACUCCAGGGAUAACAGCGCUAUCUUCUUCAAGAGCCCAUAUCAAAAAGAAGGUUUACGACCUCGAUGUUGGAUCAGGACAUCCUAGCAAUGCAACCGUUUCUAAGGGUUCGUUUGUUCAACGAUUAAUAGUCCU
rnacentral:rRNA from 1 species